ACGAACGCUGGCGGCGUGCUUAACACAUGCCAGUCGAACGGAAAGGCCCCUUUGGGGGUACUCGAGUGGCGAACGGGUGAGUAACACGUGAGUAACCUGCCCUUGACUUCGGGAUAACUUCAGGAAACUGGGGCUAAUACCGGAUAGGAAUCCUUGCUGCAUGGUGGGGGUUGGAAAGCUUCGGCGGUUUUGGAUGGACUCGCGGCUUAUCAGCUUGUUGGUGGGGUAGUGGCUUACCAAGGCUUUGACGGGUAGCCGGCCUGAGAGGGCGACCGGCCACAUUGGGACUGAGAUACGGCCCAGACUCCUACGGGAGGCAGCAGUGGGGAAUAUUGCACAAUGGGCGGAAGCCGGAUGCAGCAACGCCGCGUGCGGGAUGACGGCCUUCGGGUUGUAAACCGCUUUCAGCAGGGGCGAAGCUUGUGGUGACGGUACCUGCAGAAGAAGCACCGGCUAACUACGUG
rnacentral:rRNA from 1 species